GACAGAGGCCUCGAGCGUUAGGCGGAAUCACUGGGCUUAAAGCGCGUGUAGGCGGAUCGUUAAGUGCCUUGUGAAAUCCUGCGGCUCAACCGCAGGACCGCUGGGCAUACUGGCGGUCUUGGGCCACUCAGGGGUCACUGGAACAAGCGGUGGAGCGGUGAAAUGCGUAGAUAUCGGUUGGAACGCCAAAGGUGAAGACAGGUGACUGGGGGUGUGCCGACGCUGAGACGCGAAAGCCAGGGGAGCAAACGUG
rnacentral:rRNA from 1 species